AAUGCAAUACACUUUUUUAAGUUGUUAGUACAAAAUUUAUUUUAGUUUUCAUCCAGUGCUUUCAAGAAUGUGUCAAACAGUCUGCACCGUUAGCCACUAGUCUGAUACCCCAGACUAGUAAAAAAAUUUUGGACUAGUAAGUUUUUGCAAAACUUUGUUCAGCCACAUAAGAAAAUUGUUGGAAUAUUGGUCUUCGGACUAGAAGUCAGAAAAGAUUCUGGUGCAGACUGGUCAAAUUACAAGCUUUGUUGUUUGUCUUUACCCUUACAUUCUUCCACAAAUAAUUUAUGCCUAUAUAUGUGUUCAAAGCUAAAGAUCAUUCAAGUCUUACAAUAUAUUUAUUUUUUUUAGUCAGUUAGUUGGAUGUUGAGGUGUUUAACCUACUACACAACAGCUUAGUGCUCUAAGUCAGACAACAAUAUAUUUAUACUUAGAAAUCAUUAUGGAGCAGAUUAAUAGUAUUAGCUACAGUCAAACCUGCAUAUUUAGGUCAUUCUUGGGAGAAGAGAAAAGGGACCUUAUAAGAGAGGUGACCUUUGAACUGUGGUUCAAAAUGUGUAGGUAUUGCUAUAAUGGGACAAGAAGAGAUUGACCUGACAAGACAAGUUUUUAUACGACCGCAAAAAAAUUUUGUGGUCGUAUAUUGGUAUGACGUUGGCGUCGUCGUCGUCGUCGUCGUCGUCGUCGUCCGGCGUCGUCGUCGUCGUCCGGCGUCGUCGUCCGAAUACAUAUUGGUUUUCGCACUCUAACUUUAGUUUAAGUGAAUGGAUCUUUUUGAAAUUUGACCAUAAGGUUAAAUACCACAAAAGGAAGGUUGGGAUUGAUUUUGGGGGUUAUGGUACCAACAGUUAAGGAAUUAGGGGCCAAAAAGGGGCCAAAAAUGAGCAUUUUCUAGUUUCCAGACAAUAACUGUGGAACGGUGUAUGGAUCUCUCUGAAAUUAUACUACAAGUUUCCAUACCACAAAGGGAUGGUUAGGAUUUGCUUUGGGGGGUUAUGGCUCAAACCGUUUAGGAAUUAGGGGCAAAAAAGGGGGAAAAACAAGGUUGUCCUGGUUAAUGGACAAAUACUUUAGUACAAAACAUAAUUUAAAGCAGUGUAAGGGAGAUAAAUCAAAUACAUCAUUGAAAUUAUCUCCCUUACACUGCUUUUAAAUUAUGUAUAAAGUAAUGGUUAAUGAACAAUAAAGAUAAUCUAAAACAGUGUAAGGGAGGUAAUCCAAAUACAACGUUUUGGUUACUUCCCUUACACUGCUUUUAAAUUAUGUUUAAAGAAAUGCAUAUUUAUAAAGGAAGACCAGUAAAAAUAUCUGCAAAUGUUUUCAUCUUUUUUUUUUACAAAAAAAUCCAUAUGAAAGAUUUGACACUAUAUUUUUAUUAAUUCUAUUAUAAAAUAGAUUAAGUUAGCACUAUGGUAAAUUUAAAUGGGUAAUUAUGGUUGCCAACUCCAUUGGAAAUUUGAAUUGAGAUUAUGACCAUAUCUUGAGGGAAAGAAUUUUUUUGGGGGAAAAAGGGGGGGGGGGGGUAAAAAGAAAUUGUGGGGGGCCAAUUUUUUCUCAUUUCAGAUUUCAGAAAUUAAAAAGAAUUAUUCUUCAAAUAAUUUUUUUUUUUCAAAUUUCAAAUAUUGAAAAAUUUCAAGAAGUAAUCUUUAAUUGCACAGUAUGGCGCAUUAGAUUUGUAAAAUCUUUGAUCACAUUUAUUUAUUUGUUAUGCCGAAUCUAACAGUGUAUUUAGAUUUUUAAUUUUGGGUCCAGUUUUCAAAUUGGUCUACAUUAAUGUCCAAAGGGUCCAAAAUUAAACUUUGUUUGAUUUUAGCAAAAAUUGAAUAUAUGAGGUUCUUUGAUAUGCUGAAUCUAAACAUGUAUUUAGAUUUUUGAUUAUGGGCCCAGUUUUCAAGUUGGUCCAAAUUGGGGUCCAAAAUUAAACUUUGUUUGAUUUCAACAAAAAUUGAAUAUAUGAGGUUCUUUGAUAUGCUGAAUCUAACCAUGUAUUUAGAUUUUUUAUUUAUAGGCCCCGCUAUCAAAUUGGUUCAUAUUGAGGUCAAAAGGGUCCAAAAUUAAACUUUGUUUGAUUUCAUCGAAAAUUGAAUUAUUAGGGUUCUUUGAUAUGCCAAAUCUAUCCGUGUUUUUAGAUUUUUAAUUUGGGUCCUGUUUUUUAAAUUGGUCUUCAUUGAGGUCCAAAGGGUCCAAAAUUAAACUUAGUUUGAUUUUAACAAAAAUUGAAUUCUUGGGGUUCUUUGAUAUGCUGAAUCUAAACAUGUGUUUAGAUUUUUGAUUAUGGGCCCAGUUUUCAAGUUGGUCCAAGUUGGAGUCCAAAAUUAAACUUUUUUUGAUUUCAACAAAAAUUGAAUAUAUGGGGUUCUUUGAUAUGCUGAAUCUAACCAUGAAUUUAGAUUUUUUAUUUGUGGGCCCGGCUAUCAAAUUGGUUCAUAUUGAGGUCAAAAGGGUCCAAAAUUAAACUUUGUUUGAUUUCAUCAAAAAUUGAAUUAUUAGGGUUCUUUGAUAUUCCAAAUCUAACCGUGUAUUUAGAUUUUUAAUUUUAAGUCCCGUUUUUUAAAUUGGUCUACAUUAAGGUCCAAAGGGUCCAAAAUUAAACUUAGUUUGAUUUUAGCAAAAAUUGAAUUCUUGGGGUUCUUUGAUAUGCUGAAUCUAAACAUGUGUUUAGAUUUUUGAUUAUGGGCCCAGUUUUCAAGUUUGUCUAAGUUGGGGUCCAAAAUUAAACUUUGUUUGAUUUUAACAAAAAUUGAAUAUAUGGGGUUAUUUGAUAUGCUGAAUCUAACCAUGUAUUUUGAUUUUGGACAUUGGACCAUAAUAGGUAAAUUAAAAAAAUUCAAGUUCUUAGACCACAUUCUUUCUGUGUCAGAAACCUAUGCUGUGUCAAAUAUUUAAUAGCAAUCCAAAUUCAGAGCUGUAUCAAGCUUGAAUGUUGUGUCCAUACUUGCCCCAACUGUUCAGGGUUCGACCUCUGCGGUCGUAUCAAGCUGCGCCCCAGCGAAGCAUUUUAUUACCUUUAUAGCAGGUUUGACUGUAUUUAGAAAUUUUAUAGACAUCAAAAUAAAAGAGUUUGAUGGUACAUGUAUAAGUAUAGUACAUUCCUUUGUUUUUAUAUUUAAUUCAAUUUUGUCUCUUGUCAUGUUUAGACAUACAUCAUUAAUGUUAAGUUGAAGUGCUAUUUAAUCUUUAUGUUUUGUAUAUAAUUAUUUUGCAUCAGAAUUUUAAUGCUUGGUUUAUACUAUCAAUGUCUGAACUUAAUAUGAAUCUCAAUAGAUUUAAUACUGUAAAUUGCGAAAUUAAUGCAUGAAUUUUUUUUCAAAACCCACAACAAAAUGAAAUAAUACUACAUGGUACCUUGUUCAUAGAUUGCUAAUAGUGAACUUCCUAUAUUAGGAUAUGUAUUGUAGUGAAACCAGACUCAAUGACCGCAUAUUUUUCAACUUAGGACCUAAAAUUUUUAUUAUGUCUUACAGACCCUAUCAUUCUUUUGCAAGAAAUCAAACACAUAUUUAUAUAGUUUUGCAUUAUUAACUUUACAUGUUGUUAUUGAUUGUUUUCAUAUUUAUUGUUAUAUACUGUUAAAAGUUGUAAGGCUUUCAAGUUAAUCCGAGUGAGUAUGUGUGCGAGUCUUAACUCUGAGAUUAUUUUAUUGAAUCUCACUAGAAUGCUUGGCUAUCAGGGUAGACGUGCCGUAGAAGGCAUCUCUAUAAACUGUUAAUUACUGCCUGUAAUAGACACUUAAAAUUUCCUUUGAUGAACUAAGUAUGUAGGAUGAAUCUCUUUCUUAAGUGCACCUACACUUAAAUGUUUCUUUCAAACACAAAUAAAUACUUUACAUAAAAUUGUGCUUUGUUUUUUUAAUUUGUGAUUUAUAUAAUACUGUUUAUUUUAUAUAAGAUAAAGAUAAUUUAUUAAUAGUAAACAUAUGAUUAUGUAAUUGAAUGUUUACCUGUCAUCAGCCAUUUGUGCAAGAAACACAAGACAUCUGUGUCAUUACUUGUAUUCUCUUCUACAACAGAUCUAGUUUGGUAUAUUGUUGUAUUUUAGUCCACAUUUUACAUGUCAUACAUUACUUGGUCAGGAAUCAAGAUAUAUUUUUUUUUUCAAUUUUGUCUGUACAUAUUUAUUUAAAACAUAUCAACUUUUAGCAUUUCUAAACUUUUAAAGAAAAACUUCACAAAAAACCAAAACAGCAUCCUUUUUAUACCAUCUUGUCAUUGAUAUUUAUAUAUUAGAAACAGCCAAAAAAUAUAUUUUACUACAAGAUGUCUUAUACAAAGUUUUGAUGUGAGUGAAAUAUUUCAAUUUCAAAUUGACCAAAAAGUAUGUUUAAAUUUAUCCUUUUAGGUCAAGUAUGUGAAUGUUUACUUGGCUAGGGAGCUGCCAUUUGAUUUUUAUGGGGGGGCUAGGAUGAAAAAUUUUGUCCUGCAUUCUUUUUUAGAUGUAAUUUCUGUUCUGCCUUUUUAUUUUUCACUCUAUUCGGUCCUGCCUUUUUUUUUUUAUUUUAUCCUGACUUUUUUUUACAUAAAUUGUCAUCCUGCCUUUUUUUUGCAAAGUGUCUCAUCCUGCCUUUUUGUCGAGCCUUCCACUUUUGUCGAAAAAGUGAGACAUAGCGAUCCUACAUUCCGUCGUCGUCGGCGUCCACAAAUAUUCACUCUGUGGUUAAAAAUUUUGAAAUUUUAAUAACUUUCUUAAACUAACCUGGAUUUGUACCAAACUUGGACAGAAGCUUGUUUAUGAUCAUAAGAUAGUAUCCAGUAGUAAAUUUAAAAAAAAAAAUUCUGGGUUUUCCGUAUUUUACUUAUAAAUGGACUUAGUUUUUCUGCCAGGAAACAUUACAGUCACUCUGUGGUUAACGUUUUUGAAAUUUUAAUAACUUUCUUAAACUAUCCUGGAUUUCUACCAAACUUGGACAGAAGCUUGUUUAUGAUCAUAAGAUAGUAUCCAGAUGUAAUUUUAGUAAAAAGAAUUAAUUUUUUUUCCGUAUUUUACUUAUAAAUGGACUUAGUAUUUCUGCCAGGAAACAUUACAUUCACUCUGUGGUUAAAGUUUUUAAAAUUUUAAUAACUUAAACUAUCCUGGAUUUGUACCAAACUUGAACAAAAGCUUGUUUAUGAUCAAAAGCUAGUAUCUAGAAGGAAAUUUUGUUAAAAUUUUGUACCUGUUUUUUCGUAUUUUACUUAUAAAUGGACUCUUCCAGUUAACAUUACUUACAGCCUGCAGUUAAAGUUUUUAAAACAUUUAUUAGAUUCAUAAACUAUCCUGGAUUUUUACCAAACUUGGACAGAAGCUUCUUACAAUCAAAAGAUAGUAUUGAGAGGAAUAUUUUUAUUAAUUUUUUUCCUCAUUUUUGUUGAGCCUGCGAUUAACAGCAAAAGUAGGCGAGACAGCGGGUUCCGCGGAACCCUUACAAAUUUUUUUUUACUGCCUUUUUUUUUUACUCAAAACUCCUGUCCUGCCUAUUUUUUUCAAUUUUCAUCCUAGCCCCCUCAUAAAAAUCAAAUGGUAGCUCCCUUAAUGAUGUCACAGUGACAAUACAGAUGACAUUUCUGCACCAAGAUUCAUAUUAUAUCUUACUUUGCAUUUAUGAAAAAUUAACAUAAUUGUGAAUGUAUUAAAUAUUUUUACUAUUUCUGAAAUUUCAAGGACUAAAAAUAAUGGCUUCUGUCAUAAAAAAUCGUCCUUUGUUGUGGCACAUAUGGUUAGGCUCAUAAAUAUUGAUUCCAGUAAUAUAUAUUUCAAUGGGAUUUUUUUUUAGUAAUUUUUAUUUAAUCAUUUUCAUCAUUAACAGUUGGAGUUAUAUAAUAUGAAUUAUUAUGAGUUAUGAAUAAUUUUGUGUGACUUUGAAAUUUAAUAGACAUCUAAUUAUAGAACUAAUUAUAUCAUAUGAAGCCAUCUGUUGCUCAUGGUUUAUUGUAAGUUUUUUAUACCAACAGUAAUUCAUGUAUGAAAGAAAUCAAAGAAUGCAUUAUAUAUUAUGCAUCAGUACAUUUCUCAAACUAAAUGUUUAAUACUGUUGAUUCAUUAUUAAACAUGGUAUGCCAAUUUUCCUGGAUUAGUGUGUGCAUAAUUAAGCACAAAUUUAAAUAAUUUAAUGACAAUAGAAUAAGAAGAGAAACUAAUUGGUUUGGCAAAAUGUCUCAUUUUCUACAUUAUUUUGUUAUGUAAUAUUUGUUUACAAGCUUAUUUUUUGAUACCCCACCUACAAUAGCCAUUAUGUUUUCCUGUCUGUGCUUUCAUCAAUUAGACUGAGUUGCUAUGCAUGCCUGGUCUGUAUCAGGAUAAGCAUUUAGUUUAGGGUAGUUUACCAUGAAGUUUUGUUCACAUCAGCUUGAAACAUAAAUAGAAAUAAGAAGAUGUGGUAUGAGUGCCAAUGAGACAACUCUCCAUCCAAGUCACAAUGUGUAAAAAGUAAACAAUUAUAGGUCAAAGUACGGCCUUCAACACAGAGCCUUGGCUCACACCCAACAGCAAGCUAUAAAGGGCCCCAAAUGACUAGUGUAAAACAGUUCAAACAGGAAAACCACCGAUCUAAAUUAUAUAAAAAAACGAGAAACACUUAAGAACCACAUCAACAAACAACAACCACUGAACACAUAUUCAUUAUGAUGUGAACUUUUUAAAAGCAUGCCAAAUUAGGGUUUUGACCAAGAUUUUAUGGUAGAGCAAGUGGGGCAUGUUGUCCUGUGAACACAUGUUGUUGUUUGUAUACUAUAUUAUAUUCCUUUCUGUUUUUUGAAUCUCUAUUAGUUUUUAUUUUUAGUGCAGCUAUUUAUGUUGAUAUCAUUUAUUAGAUAAUCAAAUUGUUUCAUCAAUAUUGUGUAGAAUUUUUAUUCCUGGGUUCCAAUUUUUGUAGAAUUUACAAUUAUUCAGAACCUUAAAUUUUAAUAUUUUUAUUUCAAUAUAUCCUUAAGGGUGACAAUAUGAUUUGUCAUACAGUAACACAAUUAUCUUAUGAAAUUGAUUUGUUGUGAGCAAUGUCUGAAACAAUGCAUUUAGAUAGAGCUAUACUUAUGAUUUCUCCUCAAAGCUUGAAAAGGAGAAAGAAUGAGUUAAGUUCAAAAAUCAAAUUGUAUCAUAAAGCCCUAUAAUGGCCCCUAAUUCUGGCUUAAAGUUCAAAUAAGGAUUUAUUGUCAAAUAUUACAAUGAAUUAAUGUUAAAACAUUGACUAGGUAGGAAAUAUAUCUUUUUAUUGAAAAUUUGAAUAUUAAUGUUCUUUUCAUGACAUUACAAAUGAUUUUCCUCAGAAAUAAAUAAAAAAAAUUUCCAUGGGUUUUUUUACUUUUAUCACCCUGUUCUUUUCUUUAAAAAAUGAAUCUGAUUUUGAAUAGACUGAAGAAUUUUAAUUUUAAAGGGGCUAAAUGACGGCUCUUUACAUACUUUCUCCUUUGAACCCAGGAAUAAAAGUGCUGCUUGCAUAGUAUAACCAUCCAUAAUAUACUGUUAAGUUUUAUGGUUUUUUAUCCAGUGUUUCUGUUCAAGAAUAUUUUCAGUUGAUAAUUUAUUAGGGUGCUUUUUCAUGUUUUUUAACAUUUUUUGCAGUGAAUCAUAAAAAAUGAAAUAAAAACAUUAAAAUUCA